rnacentral:rRNA from 1 species
UCCGGAAUUAUUGGGCGUAAAGGGUGCGUAGGUGGUUUAACUAGUUAUCGGUGGGAAAUCGGGGCUCAACCUCGUGGAAGUCGGUAAUACUGUUAAACUAGAGGGUCGGAGAGGUUAACGGAAUGCUAUGUGUAGCGGUAAAAUGCUCAAAUAUAUAGUAGAACACCAAACGGCGAAGGCAGUUAACUAUUCGAUUCCUGACGUUGAGGCACGAAAGCGUGGGGAGCAAGACGG